GGAAAGCAGUACCGAAAGCUUAGUCAUGCUAGAUUCCAGGUAAGUUAUAACUUUAUUUUAGGCCUAUUUUCAGGUAAAAGAAGGACCAAAAGUAUAAUGUCCAGUAGAACACUAUACAUUUUAAAGAAAAGGAUUGAGUAGUCUUUCCUGUGUUCCUUUAAUGACAGCCAUGACCCCAGUAGUGCAGUCAAAUUAUUACUCUUCAACUUCUGAUUUGUGGUUUAGAAAAAAAA